UUCGUCUGUGGCAAAUAGAGGAUGAGAACCUCCGAAGGAGGUUUGAGCCGAGCGCAGCGAGACAACGUUGC
rnacentral:sRNA from 1 species